UUGUUUCUUCUGGCUGUCCCUCCCUUCUGACAUUUAUCUCCAUUCUUCUCCUUGUCCAGGUCUAUUCCACCCCCAACAAUCUUCUAUUCAUUGAACUUUUUGAAACUUCGCACUUUUAGAGAGAGGUAAGGGAUUGACUCUGUGUACACAAAUUUGCAGAGGUA